AACGAACGCUGGCGGCGUGCCUAACACAUGCAAGUCGUACGGGAAAGUGGGCUUCGGCCCGCGAGUAGAGUGGCAGACGGGUGAGUAACACGUGGGUAACCUACCCGGAGGUGGGGAUAACCUUCCGAAAGGAGGGCUAAUACCGCAUGACAUCUCAGGGGCCUCGGCCCCGGAGAGCAAAGCUGCCUCUACAUGUAAGCUAGCGCCACCGGAUGGGCCCGCGGCCAUUAGCUAGGGUGGGUAACGGCCACCAAGGCGACGAUGGGUAGCC
rnacentral:rRNA from 1 species